rnacentral:rRNA from 1 species
GAUCCUGGCUCAGGACGGACGCUGGCGGCGUGCUUAACACAUGCAAGUCGAACGAGAAUCUACUGAAAGAGUUUUCGGACAAUGGAUGUAGAGGAAAGUGGCGGACGCGUGAGUAACGCGUGAGGAACCUGCCUUGAAGAGGGGGACAACAGUUGGAAACGACUGCUAAUACCGCAUGACGCAUAGAGGUCGCAUGAUCUUUAUGCCAAAGAUUUAUCGCUUCAAGAUGG